UGGGGAAUAUUGCGCAAUGGACGAAAGUCUGACGCAGCGACGCCGCGUGUGGGAGGAAGCCCUUCGGGGUGUAAACCACUGUCAGGGGGGAAGAACACUUGUUUCCCGAACAGGGUGGCAGGCUGACGGUACCCCCAGAGGAAGCGCCGGCUAACUCCGUGCCAGCAGCCGCGGUAAGACGGAGGGCGCAAGCGUUGUUCGGAAUCACUGGGCGUAAAGCGCGGGUAGGCGGUCUGCUAAGUCUCCUGUGAAACUCCGGGGCUCAACUCCGGACAUGCAGAAGAUACUGGCAGACUAGAGACCGGUAGAGGCAAGCGGAAUUCCUGGUGUAGCGGUGGAAUGCGUAGAUAUCAGGAAGAACACCUGUGGCGAAGGCGGCUUGCUGGGCCGGUUCUGACGCUGAACUGCGAAAGCGUGGGGAGCAAACAGGAUUAGAUACCCCCGUAGUCC
rnacentral:rRNA from 1 species